UCAGUUUCAGCUCCAUUUUGAACCCUAAAUCCCCAAACCCCUAAUCAUAUUGAACCAAUCUUCACCCAAUCCGACGAACGGCUUCUCUAAUCCACCCAUCCGGGGCUGGCGACAGCGACACCUUAGUGGCGGCAACAAAGCAAAAAAAUCAACCCCAAAUUCAAUUUGAUUUCAAAGUUGAAUUUGUCUUUCAACAGGCUCCAAGGACAAAUUCCAAGGUUCGGGAUUUAAAGUUAUGGAUCGAUAUUAUAAGAGAAAGUUUUCAUCAACUACUUCUAGUUCGGAUAAUGUGGGUAGUUCAAGUG